UUUGCAUGGUCAGCUGAUCCUCCAGUGAACUGAGAAGGUUUAUAGUCCUGUGAGUUCAACACUGCAGGACUCACAUGUGUCAGUCAACACAGCACAAAGCACAAGCAGCAUGACUCUCCUCAGCAUCUUCAUCUGGACGCUGGCCUGCUGCUGCUUCACAGGAUCCAGCAGUCAGGUGACUGUGACUCAGCCUCCAGUGGUGAAAUCUACUCCAGGAUCCACUGUCACCCUGUCGUGUAAAGCCAACACAGCAGUUUACAGAUACUCUGAUGGAAAUGAGGGGCUUUACUGGUAUCAACAGAACUCUGGAGAAACCCCAAAGGUCUUAAUAAAAUUUGUGAAUCAACAUGAAUCAGGAACACCAGCUCGGUUCAGUGGCAGUGGAAGCAGGACUGACUUCACUUUGACCAUCAGUGGAGUCCAGGCUGAAGAUGCAGCAGUUUACUACUGUCACAGUACACAUGCUGGCUAUGUGUUCACACAGUGA